rnacentral:rRNA from 1 species
UACGUAGGGGGCUAGCGUUGUCCGGAAUCAUUGGGCGUAGAGCGCGCGUAGGCGGCCCGGUAAGUCCGCUGUAAAAGUCAAAGGCUCAACCUUUGAAUGUCAGUGGAUACUGCCGGGCUAGAGUCCGGAAGAGGCGAGUGGAACUCCUGGUGUAGCGGUGGAAUGCGCAGAUAUCAGGAAGAACACCCGUGGCGAAGGCGGCUCUCUGGGACGGUACUAACGCUGAGACGCGAAAGCGUGGGGAGCGAACAGG